UGCGAUUCAAACCCUCAAAGAAACUUCUGGUGGAUUUGUUCAAAAGACAAGGGCUGAGCUUGUUAUUCAAAAAACUGUCCCCACAGCUUUCAAAGAAAUAUAUGGGCUUAUUCUUCAGUAAUACUUCCAUACUUAGAUUUUAAAAACAAGUAUACAUACAGCACAAUAAGUGCACAAACAUUUAUUUUCUAAACAUAUCUACGCAAAUAUAAUAUAAGUUAGUUUGACGUCAUGAACGACAUUUCAACAGCAAAUUAUUUUCGAUAACUCUCAAUGUCGAAACUAUAAAAAUGUUCCACAUGAUUUUGACUUAUCAGAAGUAAAAAAGAGGAAAAACCUAAAACAAUACUUAAAAAAACAAGGCUUG